rnacentral:SRP_RNA from 1 species
UCGAGGCGUUCUCCGAUAGAGCUAAUAAUUGGUUCAAUCACUGGGUCGUGGCCGGGUGCUCUUUUUGUUUUUGGUGAUCAGA